AGCAGCCGCGGUAAUUCCAGCUCCAAUAGCGUAUAUUAAAGUUGUUGCAGUUAAAAAGCUCGUAGUUGAAUUUCGGGAUCAAUUUAUCGGUCGUGCCAAUGGUAUGAACUGGUACAACUGGUUUCUCCCUUCUGAUAAAGCGUGAUGCCAUUAACUUGGUGUCGCCGGGGAAUCAGGACUGUUACUUUGAAAAAUUAGAGUGUUUAAAGCAGGCUUAGGCUUGAAUACAUUAGCAUGGAAUAAUGAAAUAGGACGUUUGAUCCUAUUUGUUGGUUUCUAGGAUCGACGUAAUGAUUAAUAGGGAUAGUUGGGGGCAUUAGUAUUCAAUUGUCAGAGGUGAAAUUCUUGGAUUUAUUGAAGACUAACUACUGCGAAAGCAUUUGCCAAGGAUGUUUUCAUUAAUCAAGAACAAAGUUAGGGAUCGAAGACGAUCAGAUACCGUCGUAGUCUUAACCAUAAACUAAUGCCGACUAGGGAUCGGAUGA
rnacentral:rRNA from 1 species